AGCUGCAGUCCUCAUGGGCCGCCAGCCUCCCGCUUCCUGCAGAGGCGCCCAGAGCUGGAGCUGGUCUGCGCAUGCACUUGGAGGCACGGUAUGAACAACCGCAGAAAUGCCGGCCAACUACGCCAGUUCCCAGAGCCCAGCGUUCUCCUCUCUCCUCUUUCAUUGGUUUCCCAGGAAAGCUGCUGAGGGCGGGAACCCCAGAUGCACAGUUUGGCUCAUAAGCGGGCUGCCUUUCACAGCCACCACUACCCACCCGGGGAGAGCACUGGAUUGUGGCAAACGGGACCUCUUUGUGUGAGCAACCAAGUUUCAGAGAUGACAAGGAAAAUCUUCAUUACCAUUUCAAGAACUGGGAACAAAGAAAAAUCCCGUUCCAGGACGCAAAGGAGGAGAUGCGGGUAGCUGAACAGAAACUUUUGAAGAUUACCAUGGGAAUACACCUGUGAACUUCCAGGUUUGAUCUCAGUUACUCCCUUACUUGAAGAAGGCUUCGAUGAUUCCUCAUGGAGAAAUCCCAGAUACUUCUGCACAUGAUUCAGAGGUCCCUUACAACUGGCUUCAGCCUGCCUUCCAAGCCCUGUCUCUCGCCUCUCCCUUCCUUCACACUGUGCUUCAGCGAGAUGCUGUGUUUUUUGCAAAUGGACGGUUUGGGCAACUCUUUGUGGAGCAAGUCUAUCGGUGCCAUUUUCCCAACAACAUGGAUUCACUUCAUGUCUCUGAGUCACAUUUUGGCUGGAGUGUGGUGGCGUGAUCUUGGUUCACUGCAACCU
rnacentral:lncRNA from 1 species